GAUGAACGCUGGCGGCGUGCUUAACACAUGCAAGUCGAACGGAAAGGCCCAAGCUUGCUUGGGUGCUCGAGUGGCGAACGGGUGAGUAACACGUGGGUGAUCUGCCCUGCACUUUGGGAUAAGCCUGGGAAACUGGGUCUAAUACCGGAUAGGACCAUCGUUUAGUGUCGGUGGUGGAAAGUUUUUCGGUGUGGGAUGAGCUCGCGGCCUAUCAGCUUGUUGGUGGGGUAAUGGCCUACCAAGGCGUCGACGGGUAGCCGGCCUGAGAGGGUGUACGGCCACAUUGGGACUGAGAUACGGCCCAGACUCCUACGGGAGGCAGCAGUGGGGAAUAUUGCACAAUGGGCGCAAGCCUGAUGCAGCGACGCCGCGUGGGGGAUGACGGCCUUCGGGUUGUAAACUCCUUUCGCCAAGGACGAAGCGUUUUGUGACGGUACUUGGAGAAGAAGCACCGGCCAACUACGUG
rnacentral:rRNA from 1 species